rnacentral:rRNA from 1 species
CCUACGGGCGGCUGCAGUGGGGAAUAUUGGACAAUGGGGGGAACCCUGAUCCAGCCAUGCCGCGUGUGUGAAGAAGGCCCUCGGGUUGUAAAGCACUUUCAGUGAGGAAUAACGCCUGGUGGUUAAUACCCAUCAGGAAAGACAUCACUCACAGAAGAAGCACCGGCUAACUCCGUGCCAGCAGCCGCGGUAAUACGGAGGGUGCGAGCGUUAAUCGGAAUUACUGGGCGUAAAGCGCGCGUAGGUGGCUUGAUAAGCCGGUUGUGAAAGCCCCGGGCUCAACCUGGGAACGGCAUCCGGAACUGUCAAGCUAGAGUGCAGGAGAGGAAGGUAGAAUUCCCGGUGUAGCGGUGAAAUGCGUAGAGAUCGGGAGGAAUACCAGUGGCGAAGGCGGCCUUCUGGACUGACACUGACACUGAGGUGCGAAAGCGUGGGUAGCAAACAGGAUUAGAUACCCCGGUAGUC